AUGCCUAGCAUACGGCGAGUGAGCGGCAAGAGCUCAAAUUUGAAAGCUGGCCCCCUCGGGGUCCGCAUUGUAAUUUGCAGAGGAUGCUUCGGGAACGGCCCCCAUCUAAGUGCCCUGGAACGGGCCGUCAUAGAGGGUGAGAAUCCCGUCUGGGAUGGGGUGGCCGCGCCCGUGUGAAGCUCCUUCGACGAGUCGAGUUGUUUGGGAAUGCAGCUCUAAUUGGGUGGUAAAUUUCAUCUAAAGCUAAAUAUUGGCCGGAGACCGAUAGCGCACAAGUAGAGUGAUCGAAAGAUGAAAAGCACUUUGAAAAGAGAGUUAAACAGCACGUGAAAUUGUUGAAAGGGAAGCGCUUGCGACCAGACUCGCCCGCGGGGUUCAGCCGGCACUCGUGCCGGUGUACUUCCCCGCGGGCGGGCCAGCGUCGGUUUGGGCGGCCGGUCAAAGGCCUCUGGAAGGUAACGCCUCUCGGGGCGUCUUAUAGCCAGGGGUGCCAUGCGGCCUGCCCGGACCGAGGAACGCGCUUCGGCUCGGACGCUGGCAUAAUGGUCGUAAGCGACCCGUCUUGAACCAACGGACCA
rnacentral:rRNA from 1 species